rnacentral:rRNA from 1 species
UACGGAGGGUGCGAGCGUUGCUCGGAAUCAUUGGGCGUAAAGCGUACGCAGGCGGUCCUCCAAGUCGGGUGUGAAAGCCCAGGGCUCAACCCUGGAAAUGCGCCCGAGACUGAAGGACUUGAGUGCGGGAGAGGGAAGCGGAAUUCCUGGUGUAGAGGUGAAAUUCGUAGAUAUCAGGAGGAACACCGGUGGCGAAAGCGGCUUCCUGGCCCGACACUGACGCUCAUGUACGAAAGCGUGGGGAGCAAACAGG